rnacentral:rRNA from 1 species
UUGGUAAGGUAACGGCUUACCAAGGCGACGAUGUUUAGGGGACCUGAGAGGGUUGUCCCCCACACUGGUAUUGAGACACGGACCAGACUCCUACGGGAGGCAGCAGUGAGGAAUAUUGGUCAAUGGGCGCAAGCCUGAACCAGCCAUCCCGCGUGAAGGAAGAAUGCGGUACGCGUUGUAAACUUAUUUUCCAGGGGGAGAAUAAUCCUGUCGUGACAGGACUUGACGGUACUCUGGGAAUAAGCAUCGGCUAACUCCGUGCCAGCAGCCGCGGUAAUACGGAGGAUGCGAGCGUUAUCCGGAUUUAUUGGGUUUAAAGGGUGCGUAGGCGGAUUGAUAAGUCAGUGGUGAAAUUCUACAGCUUAACUGUAGACUUGCCGUUGAUACUGUUAGUCUUGAGUGUGGUCAAGGCAGGCGGAAUGUGUAAUGUAGCGGUGAAAUGCUUAGAUAUUACACAGAACACCGAUUGCGAAGGCAGCUUGCUGGGUCAUUACUGACGCUGAUGCACGAAAGCGUGGGGAUCAAACAGGAUUAGAUACCCUGGUAGUCCACGCCGUAAACUAUGAUCACUCGCUGUUGGCGAUACACAGUCAGCGGCUAAGCAAAAGC